rnacentral:rRNA from 1 species
UGGGGAAUAUUGCACAAUGGGCGCAAGCCUGAUGCAGCCAUGCCGCGUGUGUGAAGAAGGCCUUCGGGUUGUAAAGCACUUUCAGCGAGGAGGAAGGUGGUGAACUUAAUACGUUCAUCAAUUGACGUUACUCGCAGAAGAAGCACCGGCUAACUCCGUGCCAGCAGCCGCGGUAAUACGGAGGGUGCAAGCGUUAAUCGGAAUUACUGGGCGUAAAGCGCACGCAGGCGGUUUGUUAAGUCAGAUGUGAAAUCCCCGGGCUCAACCUGGGAACUGCAUUUGAAACUGGCAAGCUAGAGUCUCGUAGAGGGGGUAGAAUUCCAGGUGGUAGCGGUGCAAAUGCGUAGAGAUCUGGAGGAAUACCGGUGGCGAAGGCGGCCCCCUGGACG